ACAAGCGGUGGAGCAUGUGGUUUAAUUCGAUGCAACGCGAAAAACCUUACCUACUCUUGACAUCCACGGAACUUGCCAGAGAUGGUUUGGUGCCUUCGGGAACCGUGAGACAGGUGCUGCAUGGCUGUCGUCAGCUCGUGUUGUGAAAUGUUGGGUUAAGUCCCGCAACGAGCGCAACCCUUAUCCUUUGUUGCCAGCGGUCCGGCCGGGAACUCAAAGGAGACUGCCAGUGAUAAACUGGAGGAAGGUGGGGAUGACGUCAAGUCAUCAUGGCCCUUACGAGUAGGGCUACACACGUGCUACAAUGGCGCAUACAAAGAGAAGCGAACUCGCGAGAGCAAGCGGACCUCAUAAAGUGCGUCGUAGUCCGGAUCGGAGUCUGCAACUCGACUCCGUGAAGUCGGAAUCGCUAGUAAUCGUGGAUCAGAAUGCCACGGUGAAUACGUUCCCGGGCCUUGUACACACCGCCCGUCACACCAUGGGAGUGGGUUGCAAAAGAAGUAGGUAGCUUAACCUUCGGGAGGGCGCUUACCACUUUGUGAUUCAUGAUCUUGGGGGU
rnacentral:rRNA from 1 species